UACGGAGGGUGCAAGCGUUAUCCGGAUUUACUGGGUUUAAAGGGUGCGUAGGUGGGUCUGUAAGUCAGUGGUGAAAUCUCCGGGCUUAACCCGGAAACUGCCAUUGAUACUAUAGGUCUUUGAAUAUCCUGGAGGUGAGCGGAAUAUGUCAUGUAGCGGUGAAAUGCUUAGAUAUGACAUAGAACACCAAUUGCGAAGGCAGCUCACUACGGGAUUAUUGACACUGAGGCACGAAAGCGUGGGGAUCAAACAGG
rnacentral:rRNA from 1 species